rnacentral:rRNA from 1 species
UACGUAGGGUGCAAGCGUUGUCCGGAAUUAUUGGGCGUAAAGAGCUUGUAGGCGGUUUGUCGCGUCUGCUGUGAAAUUUCGGGGCUCAACCCCGAACUUGCAGUGGGUACGGGCAGACUAGAGUGUGGUAGGGGAGACUGGAAUUCCUGGUGUAGCGGUGAAAUGCGCAGAUAUCUGGAGGAACACCGGUGGCGAAGGCGGCAUCCUGGACCGACAUUGACGCUGAGGCGCGAAAGCCAGGGGAGCAAACGGG